UCCGUUCCGACCAGAAGGAAAAAUACACCCUUCCCUGCAUUUCUAGUCUGCCUGCAGGUCUGGUCCACAUGGGGUGUCUGAGACAUCCCUCUCCCGCCCCCACCGCCCCCCCCCCAGGCAAACGAUGGGGAUUCCAGGCUCCAGUGCAGAUCUUUCAUUAACAAGAAGGGAAGUCUGCUCAAGCAACCAAGCUCAUGCCUUGCGGCACCUCAUGAUUCCCUGGAAGCAAGGCUUCUCAAACUGAACUGUGC
rnacentral:lncRNA from 1 species